rfam:Populus trichocarpa scaffold_4_contig_179, whole genome shotgun sequence.
AUCCCAGAUAAUGUUCAUUUUUUGGUGAUUAUCUGAUUCAUGGGAGGCAAAUAACAAAAUGGGAGUUCGCUGAUAGCACCUUUUGAUCUUUGAAAAGGUGUUUUACUAGUACCUCACCAUACAUUU